rnacentral:rRNA from 1 species
CUCGUAGGCGGCCAACUAAGUCAGACGUGAAAUCCCUCGGCUUAACCGGGGAACUGCAUCUGAUACUGGAUGGCUUGAGAUUGGGAGAGGGAUGCGGAAUUCCAGGUGUAGCGGUGAAAUGCGUAGAUAUCUGGAGGAACACCGGUGGCGAAGGCGGCAUCCUGGACCAACACUGACGCUGAGGAGCGAAAACCAGGGGAGACAAACG